rnacentral:rRNA from 1 species
UACGUAGGGUGCGAGCGUUGUCCGGAAUUAUUGGGCGUAAAGGGCUCGUAGGCGGUCUGUCGCGUCGAAAGUGAAAACCCAGGGCUUAACCCUGGGCCUGCUUCCGAUACGGGCAGACUAGAGGUAUGCAGGGGAGAACGGAAUUCCUGGUGUAGCGGUGAAAUGCGCAGAGUAUCAGGAGGAACACCGGUGGCGAAGGCGGUUCUCUGGGCAUUACCUGACGCUGAGGAGCGAAAGUGUGGGGAGCGAACAGG